UACGUAGGGUGCAGCGUUAAUCGGAAUUACUGGGCGUAAAGCGUGCGCAGGCGGUUAUGUAAGACAGGUGUGAAAUCCCCGGGCUUAACCUGGGAACUGCAUUUGUGACUGCAUAGCUAGAGUACGGUAGAGGGGGAUGGAAUUCCGCGUGUAGCAGUGAAAUGCGUAGAUAUGCGGAGGAACACCGAUGGCGAAGGCAAUCCCCUGGACCUGUACUGACGCUCAUGCACGAAAGCGUGGGGAGCAAACAGG
rnacentral:rRNA from 1 species